rnacentral:snoRNA from 1 species
UUUUACAGUUACAGACCUGUAAUGAUUUGCGAAGAUGAUCGCAAUUAAUUGAACAUCUAAGGGACUAAGUAGUU